GACGAACGCUGGCGGCGUGCUUAACACAUGCAAGUCGAACGAAGUGGCGAACGGGUGAGUAACGCGUAUUCAACCUGCCCCUCAGAGGGGGACAACAGUUGGAAACGGCUUCUAAUACCGCAUACUGAAGGAGGGGAUUGCGUCUGUUUAGCUCGUGGGCGGGGUAACGGCCCACGAAGGCGAUGAUCAGUAGCCGGUCUGGGAGGAUGAACGGCCACAUUGGGACUGAGACACGGCCCAGAGUCCUACGGGAGGCAGCAGUGGGGAAACGUCCGCAAUGGGCGAAAGUCUGACGGAGCAACGCCGAGGGAGUGAUGACGGCCUUCGGGUGGUAAAGCUCUGUUAAUCGGGACGCGGUACCGGAAUAGAAAGCAACGGCUAACUACGUGCCAGCAGCCGCGGUAAUAC
rnacentral:rRNA from 1 species